CCAGACUCCUACGGGAGGCAGCAGUGGGGAAUAUUGCACAAUGGGGGAAACCCUGAUGCAGCAACGCCGCGUGAGUGAGGAAGUAUUUCGGUAUGUAAAGCUCUAUCAGCAGGGAAUAGAAAAGAAGGUACCUGAAAAAGAAGCCCCGGCUAACUACGUGCCAGCAGCCGCGGUAAUACGUAGGGAGCAAGCGUUGUCCGGAUUUACUGGGUGUAAAGGGGGCGCAGACGGCAGCGCAAGCCAGGAGUGAAAGCCCGGGGCCCAACCCCGGGACUGCUCUUGGAACGGCGCGGCUGGAGUGCAGGAGGGGCAGGCGGAAUUCCUGGUGUAGCGGUGAAAUGCGUAGAUAUCAGGAGGAACACCGGCGGCGAAGGCGGCCUGCUGGACCGUGACUGACGUUGAGGCUCGAGAGCGUGGGUAGCAAACAGGAUUAGAUACCCGCGUAC
rnacentral:rRNA from 1 species